GGGAGCUUGACUGCGAGACCUACAAGUCGAGCAGGGACGAAAGUCGGGCUUAGUGAUCCGGUGGUUCCGCAUGGAAGGGCCAUCGCUCAACGGAUAAAAGCUACCCCGGGGAUAACAGGCUUAUCUCCCCCAAGAGUCCACAUCGACGGGGAGGUUUGGCACCUCGAUGUCGGCUCAUCGCAUCCUGGGGCUGUAGGCGGUCCCAAGGGUUGGGCUGUUCGCCCAUUAAAGCGGUACGCGAGCUGGGUUCAGAACGUCGUGAGACAGUUCGGUCCCUAUCCGUCGCGGGCGCAGGAAAUUUGAGAGGAGCUGUCCUUAGUACGAGAGGACCGGGAUGGACGCACCGCUGGUGUACCAGUUGUUCUGCCAAGGGCAUCGCUGGGUAGC
rnacentral:rRNA from 1 species